GCUGUACCGAAUGGCAGAAAGAUUACUUGGAGCAGGUUGCCAGAGCUGUCACUGUGAUAUGAGGAGUACCCUGUACAUGUACCUUGAAGGAUCAAGCAUGCAUCAUUUCAGUGCUGAGUUGUCACCUCCACUAUACAAAUUGUUCCAGCACCCAUGUCAGAUUCUGGUCUGUCUGACUGACACCCAUGCAAGCUGAGGCAGAAUUUAGCCCAAAGACAGAAUGAACAACAACAACAACAACAACAAAAAAUACAAGAUGCCUGAUUCUAAUCUAAUUUACACUGGAGUAAUUCAAGAAGAUCUUCACUGAAGUCAGUGGAGUUAGACUGUUGUAAAACCAGAGUGAGUUUAGAAUCAAGCCUUAGAAGUCUAAUAACAUAUUAAUUAAUAAUACUUUAAAAUCUUCAGAUGGAGUCUCCUAAAUACAAAAAGGUCAAUUGAAACUGCAGGUUAAAUUUAGGCAGAAUAUAGUUCCUAGAGUUGGACAAAUUGUUAGUGUUGAAUCAUUUAUUUAGUUAAUUUUGCCUCUUCUGAAUUGUUGGUGAGCAGCUUAAUCAUUAAAUAAAUUUGAGAAAAUUUUAACAUUAAAAAAUUCUUGGCUUGUAGCUUAUUUACAAGCAAUUUGUAUUUUAUAUUCAAAAAAUAUUUAAGGAUUGAUUGGACACAUAGGUCACAUGGUAUUUUUUUCUGCUCCACGAUUGGAUGACCAUAAUCUUUAAAGGUUUCUGAUGCAUACCUGUUUUCUAUGAAUUCAUAAUUCCCUUCCUCUGGAUAUUUUCCAAUAUUCACUAAAAAGGCAUGGAGUCAGCAAACAUCCAUGCCAGAACUAGUUUGCUAGAGUAUUUUGGAAAAGCAAAUGUAGCCAGAGGGUUAACUUUUUUUAAUGCAGUAUAUAUUCAUAGAACUAUUCUAGCUGUAAUAAUUACCUACAUUUAAAUAGUGCCAAAAAACCAAGGCUCAAAUCCUUGAUCUUGUCAAAACUGCCAGUGCAUAAAAUGUGAGAACUUAAAGGACAUUUGUUGCAAAGAACAUAGUUUCUUGUCUAAAACAGAAUGUUA